GGUGCCUUCGGGAACUGUGAGACAGGUGCUGCAUGGCUGUCGUCAGCUCGUGUUGUGAAAUGUUGGGUUAAGUCCCGCAACGAGCGCAACCCUUAUCCUUUGUUGCCAGCGGUCCGGCCGGGAACUCAAAGGAGACUGCCAGUGAUAAACUGGAGGAAGGUGGGGAUGACGUCAAGUCAUCAUGGCCCUUACGACCAGGGCUACACACGUGCUACAAUGGCAUAUACAAAGAGAAGCGACCUCGCGAGAGCAAGCGGACCUCAUAAAGUAUGUCGUAGUCCGGAUUGGAGUCUGCAACUCGACUCCAUGAAGUCGGAAUCGCUAGUAAUCGUAGAUCAGAAUGCUACGGUGAAUACGUUCCCGGGCCUUGUACACACCGCCCGUCACACCAUGGGAGUGGGUUGCAAAAGAAGUAGGUAGCUUAACCUUCGGGAGGGCGCUUACCACUUUGUGAUUCAUGACUGGGGUGAAGUCGUAACAAGGUAACCGUAGGGGAACCUGCGGUUGGAUCACCUCCUUACCUUAAAGAA
rnacentral:rRNA from 2 species